AUGGUCGCGAUAAGUGCCGGAGAACCGCGGCGGCCGGCGUUCAGGGCGACAAGUGCUGGAGCCGGCAAGUUUUUUGCUAGAAGCAGCCCCAGUUUUUGCUACCAUUGUCUUCUUUUUUUGCUGGAACCGGGUUUUUUUUGCUACUGCGUUGCGUGUUUUGCUGGAACCAGUGUGCCAAUCUGCUACCACCAUCUUCAUUUUUUGCUGGAACCAUUCCAAAAUUUGCUACCAUCAUUUGUUUGGUGUAACCGGGCGUACCAAUUUUGCUACCACCAUCUUCAAUUUGUGCUGGAGCCAAUCAAAAAAAUUGCUACCAUGUCUUUGUUUGGUGAAAAUAGUCCACCACUUUUUCGCUACGACCGUUUUGAGUUUUGCUACUAUCGGCGUUGUCAAUUGCUACAUCCAUUUUUCAUGACACACCGACACUUGUGA
rnacentral:rRNA from 1 species